rnacentral:rRNA from 1 species
CCGGUCCUACGGGACGCCGCAGUGGGGAAUAUUGGGCAAUGGGCGCAAGCCUGACCCAGCAACGCCGCGUGAAGGAAGAAGGCUUUCGGGUUGUAAAUUUCUUUUGUCAGGGACGAAGCAAGUGACGGUACCUGACGAAUAAGCCACGGCUAACUACGUGCCAGCAGCCGCGGUAAUACGUAGGUGGCAAGCGUUAUCCGGAUUUAUUGGGUGUAAAGGGCGUGUAGGCGGGAAUGCAAGUCAGAUGUGAAAACUAUGGGCUCAACCCAUAGCCUGCAUUUGAAACUGUAUUUCUU